UCGGACGUGGUGCAUGGUGCAUACCCCGCCGUCAUGCCUGCUGCAUAGUGCACUUUGAGUGGGAGCUCCGGGUUCGAUUCCCGACGUCCGAA